rnacentral:rRNA from 1 species
UACAGAGGUCCCGAGCGUUGUUCGGAUUCAUUGGGCGUAAAGGGUGCGUAGGCGGCUUCCUAAGUUUGAUGUGAAAUCCUGGGGCUCAACCCUGGAACUGCAUUGAAUACUGGGAGGCUAGAGUACUGGAGAGGAAACUGGAAUUUACGGUGUAGCAGUGAAAUGCGUAGAGAUCGUAAGGAAGACCAGUGGCGAAGGCGAGUUUCUGGACAGUUCCUGACACUGAGGCACGAAGGCCAGGGGAGCAAACGGG